rnacentral:rRNA from 1 species
UAGGGAAUAUUAGUAAUGGGCGAAAGCCUGAACUGGCAACGCCGCGUGUGCGAAGAAGGCCUUCGGGUCGUAAAGCACUUUUUGAGAGGAUGAGGAAGGACGGUACUCUCAGAAUAAGUCUCGGCUAACUACGUGCCAGCAGCCGCGGUAACACGUAGGAGGCAAACGUUAUCCGGAUUUACUGAGCGUAAAGCGCGUGUAGGUGGUUUGGUAAGUAGGGCGUGAAAGCUCCUGGCUCAACUGGGAGAGGACGUUCUAAACUGCCAAGCUUGAGGAUGGUAGAGGGAGGUGGAAUUCCGGGUGUAGCGGUGGAAUGCGCAGAUAUCCGGAGGAACACCAGUGGCGAAGGCGGCCUCCUGGACCACUCCUGACACUCAGACGCGAAAGCUAGGGUAGCAAACGG